AACAUUUCUUUGUAGAUUUUAUGCUUCAAGGUCUCAUCAACAUGAAUGGGACUUUAUUGUUAAUUAAUUCAGUCGAAAUUAGUUGUUAAAAACGAAAACGUUGAGGAAUUUCUUAUUAAUUAAUUGCUAAUGGUUCCACUCACGCAAUGAAAUAGCGUAAGCCUAUCGAAUCUCCCAUAGUCAAAUGAUGGAUCUUUUUUGUGCAUUUCUCUCGAAAGUGAUUAUGAGGCUUAUGAUGACGUCCCACUGGUGAUGACGAAGUCUUUGAUGAUUUCUUGAAACUGCAGCUAAUCAACGUUAUUCUGGUCAAAGAUAGAAAUUUAAAGAUAAAGUUUAGAUGGAUAUUAAAAAAAAAAAAUUAUGUUAAUUUCCUUGUUAAACCAAAAGCUUUAAAUCCCCCCCGAAAUAUAAAAAAAAUUAAAA